rnacentral:rRNA from 1 species
GGGAAGAAAUCUGUUGACCCGAGCCUCGGGCCGGGAUGUUCACAACCCUUUGUUGUCCGACUCUGUUGCCUCCGGGGCGACCCUGCCUCCGGGCGGGGGCCCCGGGUGGACAUUUCAAACUCUUGCGUAACUUUGCAGUCUGAGUAAAUUUAAUUAAUAAAUUAAAACUUUCAACAACGGAUCUCUUGGUUCUGGCAUCGAUGAAGAACGCAGCGAAAUGCGAUAAGUAAUGUGAAUUGCAGAAUUCAGUGAAUCAUCGAAUCUUUGAACGCACAUUGCGCCCCCUGGUAUUCCGGGGGGCAUGCCUGUUCGAGCGUCAUUUCACCACUCAAGCCUCGCUUGGUAUUGGGCGACGCGGUCCGCCGCGCGCCUCAAAUCGACCGGCUGGGUCUUUCGUCCCCUCAGCGUUGUGGAAACUAUUCGCUAAAGGGUGCCGCGGGAGGCCACGCCGUAAAACAACCCCAUUUCUAAGGUUGACCUCGGAUCAGGUAGGGAUACCCGCUGAACUUAAGCAUAUCAAUAAGCGGAGGAA